UACAGAGGGUGCGAGCGUUAAUCGGAAUUACUGGGCGUAAAGGGCGCGUAGGUUGUUAUGUAAGAUGGAUGUGAAAGCCCUGGGCUUAACCUAGGAACGGCAUCGAUGACUGCAUAGCUAGAGUAUUGUAGAGGGUAGUGGAAUUUCCGGUGUAGCGGUGAAAUGCGUAGAGAUCGGAAGGAACAUCAGUGGCGAAGGCGGCUACCUGGACAAAUACUGACACUGAGGCGCGAGAGCGUGGGUAGCAAACAGG
rnacentral:rRNA from 1 species